rnacentral:rRNA from 1 species
UACGUGAGGGUGCAAGCGUUUGAUCCGGAAUUAUUGGGGCGUAAAAGAGCUCGUAGGCGGUUAGUACGCGUCUGCUGUGAAAACUCGGGCUUAACUCCGGGCCUGCAGUGGGUACGGCUGACUAGAGUGCGGUAGGGGAGAACUGGAAUUCCGUGGUGUAGCGGUGAAAUGCGUAGAGAAUCGAGAGGAACACCUGCGGCGAAGGCGGUGCUGGGCUGACACUGACGCUGAGGCGCGAAAGCCAGGGGAGGCGAAACGGGG